rnacentral:lncRNA from 1 species
CUUUUCCUAAAUAGAUUGGCUUUUGUUGGAAUUUUGUUAUUGGCACAUAACCAGGCAAAUAAUCUGGCUUUCUCUGGAACCCAGAGUUUCCAUAUGACCUUGCUUGAGAGUAGCCUUACUCCUCCAUCUUGAAGGAAGUGGUAGCCCUUCCUUGGUGUAAACUCCUUGUCACUAAACCAUUUCGAGGCAAUAGUAUCAGGUCAUUCCAUCAAGCAAAUGUUCAAUGCUUCCUUUUAAUCUCUGGAGAUCCUCCAAGAGUCUUCGUGGGAGUAGGAUGCCAGGUGACCUGCUAUUAUGGAAGUUAUCUAGCACUCUAGC